UCAGUUGCACACGAAGGACCGACACGCGAGGCUUAUUGUUAUCCGGGUAUUUUGUGCCAUGUUACUAUAGAGCGAAUGCGUGUUAUCUCAGUACGUGGCCACUGAGGGCAAGAAGAGAAAGAAAAGGAAAAACCGUCGCUCUCAACGAGUUCCUAGGCGAGGAACCGUCGGGAGCGUUUGUCUCAUUUUCAACCUCUCAUACGUCGAAUUGGGCCGAAGAAAGCGAAGAUAUCAACCCGGAUUUGUCGAGUAAUCCGUGGUCGGAUGCGACUGACUCACGUUGGCGCGAGGCAACAAUGGACCGGAGCAUGUUGCCCACUGCGCCUCGCGGCACGAGAACAGGCCGCGCUAGCUAUGAAUCGAUUACCGAAGGAACCGCCGUUUACUGCGUUUAUUGGCAAUUUGCCGUAUGAUUGUGAGAAUUCUGAUAUUGAAAUGUUCUUUGAGAAAGAAAAAUUGACUGUGAAAUCUGUUCGGCCGCCAAAAGAUGUUUCUGGAAGAUUGAAGGGGUUUGGCUACGCUGAGUUUGAGAAUGUGGCAGCUUUGGUUGAAGCUCUUUCACUCAAUAAUCAGCUACUGAAGAGCAGGAAAGUAUGAGUGGAUAUUGCAGGUUCAACUCAAGGAGGAGGUGAUCGUGAUCGUAGUGACAGAGCAGAUUAUUCAUCUGGUGAGUGGCGACGUGGCGAGGACCCGCCCCCUGACACACGACAUAUACGCAGAGGCGACUCGGGAGACGAUUACCAACGAGGAAGAGACAGACGGUAUGACGGAGACGAGUACGGACGAGGAAGAGAUAGAAGGUGAGAUGGCUGCUGCAGUUCUUUAGUUUUCAUUGUUAAUAAUUAUGAAUGCACUUGAUAAAUAUUAUUAAUUAAUUAAGUAUGUGAGUGUGGGCGUGGUUGAUAUGGUAUACGCUGUUUGCAGCAUUUGGGGUAGAUGUUAGUGUUGCUGUUAUCUGUUGUGUCUUGUGUGUAGAUAUGAUUUCGAUGAUUAUGGAAGAGGAAGGGAACGAUGGUAGGGUUGUUUAGAGAAGUAACGUGACAUGAAUCAGACGACUAUGGGGGACGAUACAGAAGGCAAUUACAAGUCAUCACUUCUAACAUGCCAUUACAUGCAGUUGAAGCAACAAACAAGCAAACAAUAACAAACAAACAAACAGUAGCAGUGGUUGGAUAUUCAUGGAAAACACGAUGCUCAUUCUUCUGGUUUGCACAGAACGUCAACAAGUGGUACAGUGUACUCGUUCUGUGCAUAGUGUUGAUUGGUUUCAUUCUUGGAAUGAUCGCAAUGGUAAUCUACUAUCACUUUCUUCAUCACUCCAAGUGGAAGAGUCGCUCGAUAUCGACAUCUUUUCGAUUGAGACAACACGUGCAUCAAAAACAGAAGGAACUGCAGCUGCAGAACAAACAGAAGAAUGAACAGAAAGAAGAAACGAAUCAACGGAGAGAGACUGUUCUGUAGUUAGGAAUUAUAUGCUUCCUGGUGGAGCUGUACAGUAGAAUGGGUUAGGGUAUGAUGUAGAAUUAUCAUAUUAUGUACAUAAAAAUAAAUAUAUAUAUAUAUAUA